AUAUGCUAAUGAAUAAUGGGAUUGCCUCCUCCAGGGGCCAGGGGGCCUCCUUAUAUAGCCCCUCCAAAUGAAUGUGGGCCGUCGGAUCAAACGACCUUAAUCGUACGGAUUUCCUUAAUCUCUUAGGUCGGUGGAUGUUAAUCGUCUGAUUGGUCCCUAUAGCAGGGCGAGCGCCCUAGGGGGAGGGCGGGCGCCCUGCCCCCGGGCCCGCUCGGACUCUUCUAGAUGAUAGAAAAUUGCGCGGAACGUUAAUAUCUCUAUGUAAACCCGACAUGUGGGCCUUUCCUCCAUAUUUCCUGAUAACCCCCUGCAGAAAUAGACAAACACCAAAACUCGUGGAAUUCUGUCAGGUAAAACCAUAAGUCUGGGUGUUGGUUGCAUUUGGAUCCUUUUCUUUAUUUAUUUGAUGAUUAAAUUUGAUACUUAAGGACCGUCAACAACUCCCCCAAGCUUACCUCUUGCUCGUCCCUGAGCAAGGAUGGACUCAAGAGUUUCUACAGUGGUUUCAUGCCUUAAACGUACACAUGCGUUCAAGCAAGAUCUCAUCUCUGAGUUAGAGUAAACUGUUAAGAGUUAAAACUUACUCACUUUACCUUUCACCAUGGGGCUUGCAACCGUCACUUGUGUCUUGAGCAGUUAAAAGAUAGAACAGUCUAGUCAAGCGCCAUGUCUUUUGUUCUUUGAUCAGCUAUAGCUCUGGAGUUUUUGCAGAUUUUCAAAUAAAACUUAGAGAUUCCUUGUAUAACUCUCUCAAAUCUCUCUUUUGUAGUAUUUCUGGAUCCUUUCCAAGGCAGUAAUGGUAUAUGGCUUCUCUCAAAGUAUGUGGUAUUUUUGGUAUGAGGCAUAGUGAUAUUGCCUUCUCUCUCACCCUACUCUAAUAAGGUUUUGAUAUCUGGAGCUCAUAGGUGGGAGACAAAUAAUACAUACUUACAAGACAUUUAUUGCAUAGUCAAACCAUAGAUCCAGAAGAACAAGUCAAUAAGUCAAAUAACGAUGUGCAUGUGUGGCGAGGGAAUGGUGUAUGGUGAUGAUGGUGAUAACAAUGGUGAAAGUCUAAUUCUACUUUUGCUCUUUUUAGAGGAUACAUGCCUUUCUUGCACUUUGAAGCUUUUUUGUCGAGAAUGAGAUGCUCUAUAUUUUUUCUUUUCUCUCAGGUGGGUAUCUUGUACCCCUAAUUCUACAGUCGGACACUUGUCCAUAUUUACCUCUCGUCUCACUUUUUCUUUUCUUCGAGGUUCCGGGCACUUGCCCCUUUUUAUUUUCUCGUAUUUUUCCUUUUCUUUUUUUUCAGAGCACUCACCCUCCUAGAAUAAUGUAGCAAGUGGCAGUAACCAAAAUAUCUCGAGCCUUUAUUUCACAGGGAAUAACAGGGAUAGGAAAAAGUUUUUGGCUAUUCUCUCCCGGAUAGGAGUAGAAUAAUUUUAGGUGAAUUUGGAGAUGGAAUUGAGUGGAUGUAUGUGGUUGCGUACUUCCGGAGUAGAAGUAACAUGUAUGAGAGAACGUGCAAGUGGAUCUUGAUUUUAACCGCAUGACAAGCUCCUAAGGGUCUACACAGCUUGACCACACUCAAAGCUCAUAUGCAGUAAAAAGUAAAUGUAUGGUUCAUAGUCUAAUAAGUAUGUAUAUAUGGCUGUGGUAGGAUUUUAAACUCUCAUCAUACAGGAACUUAUCACGUAACAUUUUAAAGAUUUUUAAAGAUAAAAUUCUCCAGAAUUCUAGCAUCUCUAGGAAUAGAUAAACAACAGCUCAACCUUCCCAUAUCGUAUCCGUUAACGACUUAGACUUUAGAUCAAGUACUCUUCCCACAAGUUUAGGUUUAGAGGAAAUCUUAAUUCAUAACGGUCAUGCCUAAACUUGAGAGAGAUUUUAAUUUUGAGAACUAGGUACAUGGCAGAGCAACUAUUUAUCAUAUCCAUGUAGGAGUUUAUCAUUGAAGUUCAGUUUGGCCU
rnacentral:lncRNA from 1 species